rnacentral:sRNA from 1 species
UUGUCCUUAACCUUUGAGCUAAUCUCUUCCCCUAUUCAUCCCACCCCGCCAGUCCUUCCAUCUCGAAGCUUCCCUCAUGGACGCCCUGCUGAAUGACCGGCCUGAGUUCGUGCGCUUGCUCAUUUCCCACGGCCUCAGCCUGGGCCACUUCCUGACCCCGAUGCGCCUGGCCCAACUCUAUAGCGCGGCGCCCCCCAACUCGCUCAUCCGCAACCUUUUGGACCAGGCGUCCCACAGCGCAGGCACCAAAGCCCCAGCCCUAAAAGGGGGAGCUGCGGAGCCCCGGCCCCCUGACGUGGGGCAUGUGCUGAGGAUGCUGCUGGGGAAGAUGUGCGCACCGAGGUACCCCUCCGGGGGCGCCUGGGACCCUCACCCAGGCCAGGGCUUCGGGGAGAGCAUGUGUCUGCUCUCGGACAAGGCCACCUCGCUGCUCUCGCUGGAUGCUGGCCUCGGGCAGGCCCCCUGGAGUGACCUGCUUCUUUGGGCACUGUUGCUGAACAGGGCACAGAUGGCCAUGUACUUCUGGGAGAUGGGUUCCAAUGCAGUUUCCUCAGCUCUUGGGGCCUGUUUGCUGCUCCGGGUGAUGGCACGCCUGGAGCCUGAUGCUGAGGAGGCAGCACGGAGGAAAGACCUGGCGUUCAAGUUUGAGGGGAUGGGCGUUGGUGCGUGGGGCACGGUGCCUGGGAGCAGGGACGGGGGCUGCCGCCAGAGGGGGAUGUGCAUCACCGCACUCCUCACAUAUCCCUGCGCCAUCCCCUUAAAUUCCCUUUCCUCUCCCCUCACACCCUCACCCUACUCCUUCCCAUCCCUGUCACAUAACUAACUCCUCUGCCCCUAGACCUGUUUGGCGAGUGCUAUCGCAGUAGUGAGGUGAGGGCUGCCCGCCUCCUCCUCCGUCGCUGCCCGCUCUGGGGGGAUGCCACUUGCCUCCAGCUGGCCAUGCAAGCGGACGCCCGUGCCUUCUUUGCCCAGGAUGGGGUACAGUCUCUGCUGACACAGAAGUGGUGGGGAGAUAUGGCCAGCACUACACCCAUCUGGGCCCUGGUUCUCGCCUUCUUUUGCCCUCCACUCAUCUACACCCGCCUCAUCACCUUCAGGAAAUCAGAAGAGGAGCCCACACGGGAGGAGCUAGAGUUUGACAUGGAUAGUGUCAUUAAUGGGGAAGGGCCUGUCGGGACGGCUGACCCAGCCGAGAAGACGCCGCUGGGGGUCCCGCGCCAGUCGGGCCGCCGGGGUUGCUGCGGGGGCCGCUGCGAGGGGCGCCGGUGCCUACGCCGCUGGUUCCACUUCUGGGGCGCGCCGGUGACCGUCUUCAUGGGCAACGUGGUCAGCUACCUGCUGUUCCUGCUGCUUUUCGCGCGGGUGCUGCUCGUGGAUUUCCAGCUGGCGCCGCCCGGCUCCCUAGAGCUGCUGCUCUAUUUCUGGGCUUUCACGCUGCUGUGCGAGGAGCUGCGCCAGGGCCUGAGCGGAGGCGGGGGCAGCCUGGCCAGCGGGGGCUCCGGGCCUGGCCAUGCCUCACUGAGCCAGCGCCUGCGCCUCUACCUCGCCGACAGCUGGAACCAGUGCGACCUAGUGGCUCUCACCUGCUUCCUCCUGGGCGUGGGCUGCCGGCUGACCCCGGGUUUGUACCACCUGGGCCGCACUGUCCUCUGCAUCGAUUUCAUGGUUUUCACGGUGCGGCUGCUGCACAUCUUCACGGUCAACAAACAGCUGGGGCCCAAGAUCGUUAUCGUGAGCAAGAUGAUGAAGGACGUGUUCUUCUUCCUCUUCUUCCUCGGAGUGUGGCUCGUGGCCUAUGGCGUGGCCACGGAGGGGCUCCUAAGGCCACGGGACAGUGACUUCCCAAGUAUCCUGCGCCGCGUCUUCUACCGUCCCUACCUGCAGAUCUUCGGGCAGAUCCCCCAGGAGGACAUGGACGUGGCCCUCAUGGAGCACAGCAACUGCUCGUCGGAGCCCGGCUUCUGGGCACACCCUCCCGGGGCCCAGGCGGGCACCUGUGUCUCCCAGUAUGCCAACUGGCUGGUGGUGCUGCUCCUUGUCAUCUUCCUGCUCGUGGCCAACAUCCUGCUGGUCAACUUGCUCAUUGCCAUGUUCAGUUACACAUUCGGCAAAGUACAGGGCAACAGCGAUCUCUACUGGAAGUCGCAGCGUUACCGCCUCAUCCGAGAAUUCCACUCUCGGCCCGCGCUGGCCCCGCCCUUUAUCGUCAUCUCCCACAUGCGCCUCCUGCUCAGGCAAUUGUGCAGGCGCCCCCGGAGCCCCCAGCCGUCCUCCCCGGCCCUCGAGCAUUUCCGGGUCUACCUUUCUAAGGAAGCCGAGCGGAAGCUGCUAACGUGGGAAUCGGUGCAUAAGGAGAACUUUCUGCUGGCACGCGCUAGGGACAAGCGGGAGAGCGACUCCGAGCGUCUGAAGCGCACGUCCCAGAAGGUGGACUUGGCACUGAAACAGCUGGGACACAUCCGCGAGUACGAACAGCGCCUGAAAGUGCUGGAGCGGGAGGUCCAGCAGUGUAGCCGCGUCCUGGGGUGGGUGGCUGAGGCCCUGAGCCGCUCUGCCUUGCUGCCUCCAGGUGGGCCACCACCCCCUGACCUGCCUGGGUCCAAAGACUGAGCCCUGCUGGCGGACUUCAAGGAGAAGCCCCCACAGGGGAUUUUGCUCCUAGAGUAAGGCUCAUCUGGGCCUCAGCCCCCGCACCUGGUGGCCUUGACCUUGAGGUGAGCCCCGUGUUCAUCUGGGCCACUGUCGGGACCACCUUUGGGAGUGUCAUCCUUACAAACCACAGCAUGCCCGGCUCCUCCCAGAACCAGCCCCAGCCUGGGAGGAUCAAGGCCUGGAGCCCGGGCCGUUAUCCAUCUGGAGGCUGCAGGGUCCUUGGGGUAACAGGGACCACAGACCCCUCACCACUCACAGAUUCCUCACACUGGGGAAAUAAAGCCAUUUCAGAGGAA